CUCUACAGCAGUACUACCCUGAACACCCCGUCUUAGCCGAUCUGACACUGAGCAGGGUCAGGCCUGGUUGGUAUUUGCUGGGAGGCCUCCUGGGAGUACUGGGUGCUGUCGGCU
ensembl:rRNA 5S_rRNA 5S ribosomal RNA